rnacentral:rRNA from 1 species
AAUAUUGGACAAUGGGCGAAAGCCUGAUCCAGCCAUGCCGCGUGUGUGAAGAAGGUCNNNGGAUUNUNAAGCACUUUAAGUUGNGANNAAGGGGUUGAAGCUAAUACCUUCAAUCUUUGACGUUAUCAAAAGAAUAAGCACCGGCUAACUCUGUUCCAGAAGCCGAGGUAAUACAGAGGGUGCAAGCGUUAAUCGGAAUUACUGGGAGUAAAGCGCGCGUAGGUGGUUCAGUAAGAUGGGUGUGAAAUCCCCGGGCUUAACCUGGGAAAUGCUUUCAUAACUGCUGAGCUAGAGUACGGUAGAGGGUAGUGGAAUUUCCUGUGUAGCGGUGAAAUGCGUAGAUAUAGGAAGGAACACCAGUGGCGAAGGCGACUACCUGGACUGAUACUGACACUGAGGUGCGAAAGCGUGGGUAGCGAAC